rnacentral:tRNA from 1 species
ACUGGGGUAGCUCUAAGGUAGAGUGCUUGCCUGGUAAGUGUGAGAUCUUGGGUUCAAUACCCAGCAUCAGGG